rnacentral:rRNA from 1 species
GAUGAACGCUGGCGGCGUGCCUAAUACAUGCAAGUCGAGCGAACAGACGAGGAGCUUGCUCCUCUGACGUUAGCGGCGGACGGGUGAGUAACACGUGGAUAACCUACCUAUAAGACUGGGAUAACUUCGGGAAACCGGAGCUAAUACCGGAUAAUAUAUUGAACCGCAUGGUUCAAUAGUGAAAGACGGUUUUGCUGUCACUUAUAGAUGGAUCCGCGCCGCAUUAGCUAGUUGGUAAGGUGACGGCUUACCAAGGCAACGAUGCGUAGCCGACCUGAGAGGGUGAUCGGCCACACUGGAACUGAGGCACGGUCCAGACUCCUACGGGAGGCAGCAGUAGGGAAUCUUCCGCAAUGGGCGAAAGCCUGACGGAGCAACGCCGCGCGAGUGAUGAAGGUCUUCGGAUCGUAAAACUCUGUUAUUAGGGAAGAACAAAUGUGUAAGUAACUAUGCACGUCUUGACGGUACCUAAUCAGAAAGCCACGGCUAACUACGUG